rnacentral:rRNA from 1 species
UACAGAGGGUGCGAGCGUUAAUCGGGAUUACUGGGCGUAAAGCGCGCGUAGGCGGCUUUGCAAGUCGGGUGUGAAAUCCCCAGGCUUAACCUGGGAACUGCAUUCGAGACUGCAUUGCUAGAGUAUGGGAGAGGGAAGUGGAAUUUCCGGUGUAGCGGUGAAAUGCGUAGAUAUCGGAAGGAACAUCAGUGGCGAAAGCGACUUCCUGGACCAAUACUGACGCUCAUGUGCGAAAGCGUGGGGAGCAAACAGG